CUGGGAAGUACGCUCGCAAGAGUGAAACUCAAAGAAUGACGAGGACCCGCACAAGUAGCGGAGCAUGUGGUUUAAUUCGAAGCAACGCGAAGAACCUUACCUAAGCUUGACAUCCCAAUGACAUCUCCUUAAUCGGGGAGUUCCCUUCGGGGACAUUGGUGACAGGUGGUGCAUGGUUGUCGUCAGCUCGUGUCGUGAGAUGUUGGGUUAAGUCCCGCAACGAGCGCAACCCUUGUCUUUAGUUGCCAUCAUUAAGUUGGGCACUCUAG
rnacentral:rRNA from 1 species